rnacentral:misc_RNA from 1 species
GAUGAAAGAACGCAGUGAAAUGCGAUAAGUAGUGUGAAUUGCAGAAUUCAGUGAAUCAUCGAAUCUUUGAACGCACAUUGCGCCUCCUGGUAUUCCGGGAGGCAUGCCUGUUCGAGCGUCAUUAAAAUCACUCAAGCUUAGGUUUACCUAUUGCUUGGUCUUGGAGAUGGAAGCCAAUUUAUUGGAAUCCUCUUCGAAAUUCAAUGGCGAAGACCCUUGCUCUCCCAAGUGUAGUAAUAACUUAUGUCACUGAAGGAAGCGAGAAAUCUUCUGCCGUAACCCCCAUAUUUUCUAUGAUUGACCUCGGAUCAGGUAGGGAUACCCGCUGAACUUAAGCAUAUCAAUAAGCGGAGGA